CGGGGCAGAGCAGCCCCGUACUGGUAUCACAAGGGUUAACCCUUCCUUCCUAGCAGAGGAAGCCAUGCCCUUGAGGCUCUGCUGGGCAUGCGCCAACUGGAGAACAGGUAUAAAAGCCUGCAGAGCUGCUCAGUCUGGGCUGACCGCCGGAGGGGAAGGAGGCAUGCUGCCAGCUCCUGAUGAGGGACAGCCUGCGCUCCAGGAUCCUGAAGAUAGCCAAGCUGGGAUGCGCCCCCAUGCCCAGAUGGAGAUAAUGUAUGCCAUUUAUUAUGCCAUUGAUCCUGGAAGAGAUGUGGCUGUCUCCACUCAGAAUGUGUCAAGUAAUGCAAGAAAGACAACAAAUGGUAAAACAAAUACCCCUAUAGAGUGAGGCUGGGAACAUCCUCUGUUUCUUGGGGAGAAACAACAGAAUUUGAUUUCAUCCCGUAAACUUCUAACUUUUUUUUUCAACCAGAUAUUAAGGGGAGUUUCUACUCUUACUUAACACCAGUAGCACUAGUAGAAUCACUCCUGAUUUACAGAGGUCUAAAUGAAAUCAGAAUUGGACCUCAAAUCUGGGAUUUAAAACAUCGAUGCUGAGAAAGAAUUUAUGCCAAGACAGCAACACACAUUCACUGCAGUUAUUAAUGACUAAAACCCAGCAAAAUAUCAUGUAUCAAGCAUGUUUUUCCAUGGGGACUGCACAUUGAUAUGGUGGGAAUGUUCAUGUGCUUCGAAGACCCUGAGAACUAUGACUAUUGUCAUUUUUCAAAGAAGUUAUAGAAACACAACAAGUUAGCCCUUCUGAGAAACAGCAUGCCAAAGUAAUGGACUCUGUCUCAGCAGGAAUGAUGAAUCUUUGUGCAAGCAAUCAGGUCAAGGCUGAGAAGAUCUUUGCUAAAGGUAAAACAAACUGUAAAAGCAGGUUUCUGGAACACUAGAACAAUGGCUGCAAUGACAAAAGCUUUGCAGGAGAUGAAAGAAAUGGAUUAAUAUAAUCUUGAAAUCCUUGGAGUAAGCAGAAGUCAGUGGGACAGGAAUUGAUAAAAAGAUAUUCAUAAAUGCAGUAAAGUCAUAACAUAUUUGAGGAGGCAAAAUGGUUACCACCGAGACGGAGUAGUAUUAAUUAUGAUUUCCAAAGCUGAAAAAACACUUCGACUGAGGGCCAAUUAACAGCCAACUGCUCCAAGCUAGGUUUUAAACAUAAUACAUGAAUACAUAAUACAUACAGUGUUUUGCACCAAUAGACAACUCUGGUGACGAGAUCAAAGAUCAGUUCUACAAUUGCCUACAAACUCUGGUUGACAAUAUUCCCAAGCAUGACGUUUUCUUAGUAAUUGGGGGAUUCAUCGCCAAAGUUGGGGAUGACAACAAUGGAGUGGAGAAAGCAAUGGGCAUUGGUUCCCAAAAUCAGAACUGUGAAAGACUGUAGAUUCAUCAUGAUUCACCGGAACAUCUUGACGUGUUAUCGUAUUCCAGUAAAUAAUUAACUUUACCAAAGCUUUAAUUGUACAAACUGCACCUUGAUAUAAAGUGAACACAGACUAGAAUGAAUGGUUUAAUAUAAUACUGGUAUCAAACAAGGAUGCAUUCUCUCACCCCUCCUGUUGGGCAUUGAUAUUUACUUCGUUAUGAGUGUAGAUGAAUACAACACAAGCAUCACAUAGUUUAACAUACUAGAAGCUUUUGAUUUUGCUGACGACAUAGCUCUUCUAAA